GACGAACGCUGGCGGCGUGCUUAACACAUGCCAGUCGAACGGACAGGCCCUGCUUUUGUGGGGUGCUCGAGUGGCGAACGGGUGAGUAACACGUGAGUAACCUGCCCUUGACUUUGGGAUAACUUCAGGAAACUGGGGCUAAUACCGGAUAGGAGCUCCUGCUGCAUGGUGGGGGUUGGAAAGUUUCGGCGGUUGGGGAUGGACUCGCGGCUUAUCAGCUUGUUGGUGGGGUAGUGGCUUACCAAGGCUUUGACGGGUAGCCGGCCUGAGAGGGUGACCGGCCACAUUGGGACUGAGAUACGGCCCAGACUCCUACGGGAGGCAGCAGGGGGGAAUAUUGCACAAUGGGCGGAAGCCUGAUGCAGCAACGCCGCGUGCGGGAUGACGGCCUUCGGGUUGUAAACCGCUUUCGCCUGUGACGAAGCGUGAGUGACGGUAAUGGGUAAAGAAGCACCGGCUAACUACGUG
rnacentral:rRNA from 1 species